rnacentral:RNase_P_RNA from 1 species
GAAGUCAGACAGACAGUCGUCGCGUCCGGUGUUCGCACCAGACGGGGAGGAAAGUCCGGGCUCCAUAGAGCAGGAUGCCGGCUAACGGCCGGACGCCGUGAGGCGAUGGAAAGUGGAACAGAGAGCUGAACCGCCGAUGGCCACGCGCAAGCGUGGAUCAGGCAAGGGUGAAAAGGUGCGGUAAGAGCGCACCGCGGACGUGGCAACACGGACGGCAGGCUAAACCCCAUCCGGAGCAAGACCAAAUAGGGGCGCGCCAACGUGGCUCGCGUUGCGCCCGGGUAGGUUGCUUGAGCCUGUUGGCAACGGCAGGCCUAGAUGAAUGACUGUCCAACGACAGAACCCGGCUUAUCGGCUGACUUCCCAC